GCUGUCGAAUUAUGCUGAAGUGUUAAUUGCAAAAAGUGAGUACAUGCUUGCACCGUCACUGUUGCUUUUGUGGGAGAGUCAAGAACAUGAGGAAUUUACUACCAUCUGGUGUAAGCAUUAAGUUUAAAUGCAGCUAAAGAUGAAGUUUUAAAUGACCAUUUGGCAGCUGAGAAAGGGAAUCUGCAGGCGGUGAACAAAUUGAUAGAAAAUGCUUCUCGUACAGCUGAACUUAGACCACGAAAUAAAAAUGGCGAAACGGCCUUGGAGAUUGCUGAAAGGAAUAGACAUAAUGUGACGUGGUUAAAGCUACCGCUCGGGGGAGCUCACUGGUAAAAUCAGUAUAGAAGGGGAUGACGCUGUGAGUGUCUUUAGACAAGUGAACCUUCAAGAGGUUGCAGGUGGUAAGAAGUUAUUAGAACUGUUGCUUGAGGCGAUAAAUUUUACCAGUUACCGCCUGAUAAGGACCGGACAACACUGACCAUGGCAGCCUCUAUUGUUGCUCGUAUGCUGCAAGACCCAGUUGUUUUCCUGAAGUGGUGGCACUACAGCCAAGAAUUGAGAAUGAUUUCUAAAGCUAGAUGGAAAGAUCUUGAGAUAAAAGGUGUGACUUUCACAACAAUACUUAAGUGAAAAGUGUGUAUAAACUGAAGUUCUCCAUAGUGGUGGUUCAUUGAGUGGUCUCUAGUCCACAAGUGUAGGGUGCAUGGCAAUUUGACUCGUAUAGAUCAUUCUUAGGGCCCUUGUAGUUCUGGGCCCAGUUGUUCAAAGCCCAAUUAAGCUAAUCCUAGGUUAGCAUAAAUUUUAAUUACUAUUUAUUUACGGCUAAAGGAGGUUUUGCUUCAAAAUUGGGGCCCAAUAAGGUUAUAAAUUUUACAAAUUUCUUUACCUUAAGCCAUAAUCUUAUGAAAAAGCCUCCUUUAACGGUAAAUAAAUAACAGCUAAAAUUUCCUCUAAUCCAUGAUUAGCUUAAUCGAGCCUUGAACAACUGGGCCCUGAUGUAUGUUUCAGGGACCCCAAUGAUUCUUAAUAAUUAGAAGGCCACUAAAAUAUGUUUAUUUUGCUGCCUGAGGCACUCAUUAGCACACUUGUGAUUGAUUCACUUAAAAGAGUCCUACCAAUGAAAUGUAAGACAUACUUCUCAAUUAUGCGUUCUGUUAAUUAUAAACAUUAUCAUGGAAAUAAUGAAUUUAGGUUUUUAAAAAGCGCCAUCAAGGGGAAAUGGCAUGCAGAUAUAAAUUCCUGAGUUGUAGAGGCCCUCUUUCAUUUAAUAAUAAAUUGGC